UACGUAGGGGGCGAGCGUUGUCCGGAAUUAUUGGGCGUAAAGCGCGCGCAGGCGGUCUCUUAAGUCUGAUGUGAAAGCCCCCGGCUCAACCGGGGAGGGUCAUUGGAAACUGGGAGACUUGAGUGCAGAAGAGAAGAGUGGAAUUCCACGUGUAGCGGUGAAAUGCGUAGAGAUGUGGAGGAACACCAGUGGCGAAGGCGACUCUUUGGUCUGUAACUGACGCUGAGGCGCGAAAGCGUGGGGAGCAAACAGG
rnacentral:rRNA from 1 species